AGCAAAAGGAGAAAAACCUUUAAAGAAACAGCUGUCCUGGACCGGAAUAACAGGGUCCGGUCGGCGCUACCCUCCGAGAACGGAGAGUGAACGAUCGGCAUAAAAAAAGGGAUCACCGAUAUCAGGGUCGCCGAAAUUCAGAUUUUUAAAUUAUCGGGGCCGUUUCGGCUCUCGAUACGGCGUUGUUGCGGGACGCAUUAAUAUCUCGUGUGUCGCGGCGCUAUUGGCCGCGAAGCCGCGCACCCUUGUGCGCAGGAUGAACGUCGCUUCUGGGCGCGCAGGAUGGAUCGACUCUGGAUCGCGAGAUCCAGGGAGACACUCUGGUGCGAGCUUUCAUAACGGAUAGUCGCUUUUGAUAGUCUUUGUCAUUGUCGUUGUGUGUGUGUCACAAACGAGAUCCGAACGAGAGGACGAGACCGAGGAUCAUCCCCUAUCCAUGGGAACAAGUAUCGGUGAAGUUGCCCAUCACUAUAUUAUAAACUGUUGAAUAUCUGUUCAAUAUUUCUGUUUUGUAAGUAAUGAAGCAAAAAAAGUUGAGAUUCCUUGAGAAAUCAAUUUAGUAGAAAGUUGAGACAACAGAAAACGGUGCCAUCAGGAUCAACAAUAGAAUGGCCUCUUAUGUCAUGCAUGUCAUUUCUGAAAUCUUAUAUCCAAAACAGAAAAACAAGAGGCUCAUUACUACAGACUAAAGCUUCCAGAUGUAAUGAAACCUCUAGCAGUUGUUCAAUUAAUUCUGUUCCUCAAUCACCUUAUUCCUUAAUCAUUCCUCAAUCUGUCCAAACUGUUUCUCAAUCACAUGCACAUAUUGCAACGCAAUAUGUUGACUCUGCCGGAUUAUCUGAUUAGAAUGAUUGCACUACAUCGUUAUCCACUAAGAUUUUAGAUACUUCUGUAGAGGACACAACACAUUCUGAAUCAAGUGCAAGUGUUCUUACGGAGAAAGAAAAUAUUAAACCUAGUUCACAGACCUCUAAAAAAUCAGCAAAGCGAAUUUUGGUACCUCUUCUUGAUAAUUUUUCGAAAAAAAAGAAAACUAAGAAUGAAUGUCUAAAAGAUCUACUUAGUAAAUCAUCACAAGCAAUCAGUGAUCUGACAACAUUGUACAAACAUAAAGAAGUUGAAAAAAAGAAGAAUUUCCACAUGCAAUUGUGAUUUCACAAGCUUUGAAAUCAGUGACACCAGAAAAAAAAUCAAUUAUCCUGCCUAAUAGCUGUGUUGCAUCUUAUUGAACAAUUCAAGGAAUGAAUCAUGUUCAAUGUUUCUUUACUUGCCAAAGUGUUACGUUAAUAACAUUGUAUCGUUUUUAUGUGAUAUU